rnacentral:rRNA from 1 species
ACCUUUGACAUGGCAGGAAUCCUUUAGAGAUAGAGGAGUGCUCGAAAGAGAACCUGCACACAGGUGCUGCAUGGCUGUCGUCAGCUCGUGUCGUGAGAUGUUGGGUUAAGUCCCGCAACGAGCGCAACCCUUGCCAUUAGUUGCUACGAAAGGGCACUCUAAUGGGACUGCCGGUGACAAACCGGAGGAAGGUGGGGAUGACGUCAAGUCCUCAUGGCCCUUAUAGGUGGGGCUACACACGUCAUACAAUGGCUGGUACAAAGGGUUGCCAACCCGCGAGGGGGAGCUAAUCCCAUAAAGCCAGUCGUAGUCCGGAUCGCAGUCUGCAACUCGACUGCGUGAAGUCGGAAUCGCUAGUAAUCGUGGAUCAGAAUGUCACGGUGAAUACGUUCCCGGGUCUUGUACACACCGCCCGUCACACCAUGGGAGCGGGUCUCGCCAGAAGUAGGUAGCCUAACCGCAAGGAGGGCGCUUACCACGGCGGGGUUCGUGACUGGGGUGAAGUCGUAACAAGGUAAGCGUAGUGCU